rnacentral:rRNA from 1 species
GACGAACGCUGGCGGCGUGCUUAACACAUGCAAGUCGUACGGUAAGGCCCUUUCGGGGGUACACGAGUGGCGAACGGGUGAGUAACACGUGAGUAACCUGCCCACAACUUUGGGAUAACGCUAGGAAACUGGUGCUAAUACUGGAUAUGUGCUCCUGCUGCAUGGUGGGGGUUGGAAAGCUCCGGCGGUUGUGGAUGGACUCGCGGCCUAUCAGCUUGUUGGUGGGGUAGUGGCCUACCAAGGCGGCGACGGGUAGCCGGCCUGAGAGGGUGACCGGCCACAUUGGGACUGAGAGACGGCCCAGACACCUACGGGAGGCAGCAGGGGGGAAUAUUGCACAAUGGGCGCAAGCCGGAUGCAGCAACGCCGCGUGCGGGAUGACGGCCUUCGGGUUGUAAACCGCUUUCAGCAGGGACGAAGCUUUUUGUGACGGUACCUGCAGAAGAAGCACCGGCUAACUACGUG